rnacentral:rRNA from 1 species
AUUGAACGCUGGCGGCAUGCUUUACACAUGCAAGUCGGACGGCAGCACAGAGAAGCUUGCUUCUUGGGUGGCGAGUGGCGAACGGGUGAGUAAUAUAUCGGAACGUACCGAGUAAUGGGGGAUAACUAAUCGAAAGAUUAGCUAAUACCGCAUAUUCUCUGAGGAGGAAAGCAGGGGACCUUCGGGUCUUGCGUUAUUCGAGCGGCCGAUAUCUGAUUAGCUAGUUGGUGGGGUAAAGGCCUACCAAGGCGACGAUCAGUAGCGGGUCUGAGAGGAUGAUCCGCCACACUGGGACUGAGACACGGCCCAGACUCCUACGGGAGGCAGCAGUGGGGAAUUUUGGACAAUGGGCGCAAGCCUGAUCCAGCCAUGCCGCGUGUCUGAAGAAGGCCUUCGGGUUGUAAAGGACUUUUGUCAGGGAAGAAAAGGCUGUUGCUAAUAUCGACAGCUGAUGAC